GAUGAACGCUGGCGGCGUGCCUAAUACAUGCAAGUCGAGCGAACAGACGAGGAGCUUGCUCCUCUGACGUUAGCGGCGGACGGGUGAGUAACACGUGGAUAACCUACCUAUAAGACUGGGAUAACUUCGGGAAACCGGAGCUAAUACCGGAUAAUAUAUUGAACCGCAUGGUUCAAUAGUGAAAGACGGUUUUGCUGUCACUUAUAGAUGGAUCCGCGCCGCAUUAGCUAGUUGGUAAGGUAACGGCUUACCAAGGCAACGAUGCGUAGCCGACCUGAGAGGGUGAUCGGACACACUGGAACUGAGACGCGGUCCAGACUCCUACGGGAGGCAGCAGUAGGGAAUCUUCCGCAAUGGGCGAAAGCCUGACGGAGCAACGCCGCGUGAGUGAUGAAGGUCUUCGGAUCGUAAAACUCUGUUAUUAGGGAAGAACAAAUGUGUAAGUAACUAUGCACGUCUUGACGGUACCUAAUCAGAAAGCCACGGCUAACUACGUG
rnacentral:rRNA from 1 species